UGCCUCGUAAGGCGAUGAACGGCAACAGCUCAAAUUUGAAAUCUGGCCCUCCGGGUCCGAAUUGUAAUUUGCAGAGGAUGCUUUUGGUUAGGUACCUUCCGAGUUCCCUGGAAUGGGACGCCAUAGAGGGUGAGAGCCCCGUACGGUCGGAUUCCGAGCCUCUGUAUAGCUCCCUCGACGAGUCGAGUAGUUUGGGAAUGCUGCUCAAAAUGGGAGGUAAACCCCUUCUAAAGCUAAAUAUUGGCCAGAGACCGAUAGCGCACAAGUAGAGUGAUCGAAAGAUGAAAAGCACUUUGGAAAGAGAGUUAAAAAGCACGUGAAAUUGUUGAAAGGGAAGCGCUUGUGACCAGACUUGCGCCUGUCAGUUCAGCCGUCCUUCUGGGCGGUGUAUUCUGUCGGCUCAGGCCAGCAUCAGUUUGUCAUUGGGGAGAAAGGUAGUGGGAAUGUGGCUCUUCGGAGUGUUAUAGCCCACUGCUAUGCCCUUUGUCAGACUGAGGACCGCGCUUUUGCAAGGAUGCUGGCGUAAUGGUUAUCAGCGACCCGUCUUGAAACACGGACCAAGGAGUCGUCCUAAUAUGCGAGUGUUAGGGUGUAAAACCCCUGCGCGUAAUGAAAGUGAACGGAGGUGGGAGCUUCGCGCACCAUCGACCGAUCCUGAUGUUUUCGGAUGGAUUUGAGUAAGAGCAUAUUGGGCCGGACCCAAAGGAGGGAACUAUGCUUGGAUAGGGUAAAGCAGAAGAACUCUGGUGGAGGCUCCCAACGGUCUGACGUGCAAAUCGAUCGUCNAAUCUGAACAUGGGGGCGAAAAACUAAUCGAACCUCUAUA
rnacentral:rRNA from 1 species